GAUCAAGAAAGUUGAGUUAGUGAAGUUGUAUGACAAUGGUAAGCAGAAACCCGACUGUGAAUUUUUCGAGUCGUAUGCAUACUCUUGCAGGUUUCGGUUCCAUCAGAAAGAGAAGUUUACCGUUUACAAUGCUCAUUUUACUAGUGGCGACAAGGCAAGAAGAAAUGAGCAAUUUAAGGAUUUUCAACGUCGUACCAAGGAUUCGACAAGAAUCAAAAUCCUUGCGGGAGAUUUUAAUCUAAAGGCGAACGCUAAACUGAAUGCCGUGCAGUACUUCGUCGAGUACCGUUUUCUUGACGCCGGGCGUACCACACUUGCUAGUCACUUCGACAUGAUACUUGUAAGCGAAACUCUGCGCAUG